GUAGUCCUGGCCGUAAACGAUGGGCACUUGNCNGGGGGGUAACCUAUGGUCCUCUCUGCCGAAGCAAAUGUGCUAAGUGCCCCGCCUGGGGAGUACGCUCGCAAGGGUAAAACUCAAAGAAAUUGACGGGGGCUCACACAAGCGGUGGAGCAUGUGGUUUAAUUCGAAGCAACGCGAAGAACCUUACCUGGCCUUGACAUGCACGGAUUAGUCCCAUGAAGGUGGGGCAACAGCCCUUCGGGGUCGGAACGUGCACAGGUGUUGCAUGGCUGCCGUCAGCUCGUGUCGUGAGAUGUUGGGUUAAGUCCCGUAACGAGCGAAACCCCUAUCACUAGUUGCCAGCGGGUCAUGCCGGGAACUCUAGUGAGACUGCCGUUGUUAAGACGGAGGAAGGUGGGGACGACGUCAAGUCAUCAUGGCCCUUAUGGCCAGGGCGACACACGUGCUACAAUGGUCUGUACAAAGGGUUCCAAAACCGCGAGGUCGAGGCAAUCCCAAAAAGCAGGCCCCAGUUCGGAUUGAAGGCUGCAAUUCGCCUUCAUGAAGCCGGAAUCGCUAGUAAUCGCGCAUCAGCCAUGGCGCGGUGAAUAUGUUCCUGAGCCUUGUACACACCGCCCGUCAAGCCACGAAAGCGGGGAGCGCUCGAAGUCGCUAUGUCCAACCGCAAGGGGGACGGUGCCUAAAGCAAGCUCCGUGAUUGGGACUAAGCCGUAACAAGGUAGCCGUAGGGGAACCUGCGGCUGGAUCACCUCC
rnacentral:rRNA from 1 species